AGUGAACGCUGGCGGUAGGCCUAACACAUGCAAGUCGAACGGCAGCACAGUAAGAGCUUGCUCUUACGGGUGGCGAGUGGCGGACGGGUGAGGAAUACAUCGGAAUCUACUUUUUCGUGGGGGAUAACGUAGGGAAACUUACGCUAAUACCGCAUACGACCUACGGGUGAAAGCAGGGGAUCUUCGGACCUUGCGCGAUUGAAUGAGCCGAUGUCGGAUUAGCUAGUUGGCGGGGUAAAGGCCCACCAAGGCGACGAUCCGUAGCUGGUCUGAGAGGAUGAUCAGCCACACUGGAACUGAGACACGAUCCAGACUCCUACGGGAGGCAGCAGUGGGGAAUAUUGGACAAUGGGCGCAAGCCUGAUCCAGCAAUACCGCGUGGGUGAAGAAGGCCUUCGGGUUGUAAAGCCCUUUUGUUGGGAAAGAAAAGCAGCAGGUUAAUACCCCGCUGUUCUGACGGUACCCAAAGAAUAAGCACCGGCUAACUUCGUG
rnacentral:rRNA from 1 species